UCGGGAAUUUUGGGCAAUGGGCGAAAGCCUGACCCAGCAACGCCGCGUGAAGGAUGAAGUCUUUCGGGAUGUAAACUUCGUAAAAAUAGGAAGAAUAAAUGACGGUACUAUUUGUAAGGUCCGGCUAACUACGUGCCAGCAGCCGCGGUAAUACGUAGGGACCAAGCGUUGUUCGGAUUUACUGGGCGUAAAGGGCGCGUAGGCGGCGUGGUAAGUCACUUGUGAAAUCUCCGAGCUUAACUCGGAACGGUCAAGUGAUACUGCUGUGCUAGAGUACAGAAGGGGCAAUCGGAAUUCUUGGUGUAGCGGUGAAAUGCGUAGAUAUCAAGAGGAACACCUGAGGUGAAGACGGGUUGCUGGGCUGAUACUGACGCUGAGGCGCGAAAGCUAGGGUAGCAAACGGGAUUAGAUACCCCGGUAGUCCCUGAGCGGGCUGGCAAGGCGCAU
rnacentral:rRNA from 1 species